CCACAUGCAAGUGAAGAUGAUGGUCUGU
rnacentral:piRNA from 1 species